rnacentral:rRNA from 1 species
UACGUAGGGGGCAAGCGUUGUCCGGAUUUAUUGGGCGUAAAGAGCGUGUAGGCGGCUGGGUAGGUCCGUUGUGAAAACUCGAGGCUCAACCUCGAGACGCCGAUGGAAACCCUCCAGCUAGAGUCCGGAAGAGGAGAGUGGAAUUCCUGGUGUAGCGGUGAAAUGCGCAGAGAUCAGGAAGAACACCCGUGGCUAAGGCGGCUAUCUAGUACGGUACUGACGCUGAGACGCGAAAGCGUGGGGAGCGAACAGG